rnacentral:lncRNA from 1 species
UGGACCGGGUGGGUUUAUGCAGGUACGGAGGUACCUAUAGGAGAUAUAUGUCAUUAGGGUCAUAGCUGUAAUUAGUCAAUACCUAAUCACUUAUAUAUUCUGUAUAAAUACUGUACUUGUACACAUUAAUAAAGCAUUCAGCCUCCAUUCAUACAGUACCUGUAUGGCUGUAUAAAGUGUAAUCAUUUUAAUGCGCAGAAGUUGAACGUAUAAUUGUAAUGAUUGUUGAAUAAGAUACCUUUUCGUGCUAAUAGUUGUACACUUUCGACCUGCAUAGCAAAGAAAAAAGGUAGUUGCAGCAACUAGACGCUCGAAAAUGGCAGGUAGUGGACCUCAUUUUUCAUCGUUUCUACAUUAGUUUUACAUUAUGAACUAUACCUAAUACCUGUACAUUAACGUGUUUGUGU